GCUAACACAUGCAAGUCGAACGGCAGCACGGACUUCGGUCUGGUGGCGAGUGGCGAACGGGUGAGUAAUGUAUCGGAACGUGCCCAGUAGCGGGGGAUAACUACGCGAAAGCGUAGCUAAUACCGCAUACGCCCUACGGGGGAAAGCAGGGGAUCGCAAGACCUUGCACUAUUGGAGCGGCCGAUAUCGGAUUAGCUAGUUGGUGGGGUAACGGCUCACCAAGGCGACGAUCCGUAGCUGGUUUGAGAGGACGACCAGCCACACUGGGACUGAGACACGGCCCAGACUCCUACGGGAGGCAGCAGUGGGGAAUUUUGGACAAUGGGGGAAACCCUGAUCCAGCCAUCCCGCGUGUGCGAUGAAGGCCUUCGGGUUGUAAAGCACUUUUGGCAGGAAAGAAACGUCAUGGGUUAAUACCCCGUGAAACUGACGGUACCUGCAGAAUAAGCACCGGCUAACUACGUGCCAGCAGCCGCGGUAAUACGUAGGGUGCAAGCGUUAAUCGGAAUUACUGGGCGUAAAGCGUGCGCAGGCGGUUCGGAAAGAAAGAUGUGAAAUCCCAGAGCUUAACUUUGGAACUGCAUUUUUAACUACCGGGCU
rnacentral:rRNA from 1 species